rnacentral:rRNA from 1 species
GCUGGCGGCACGCUUAACACAUGCAAGUCGAACGAAGUAGCAAUACUUAGUGGCGAACGGGUGAGUAUAAUGUGGGUAUCUGCCUUUUGGUUUGGAAUAACACGGGGAAACUUGUGCUAAUACCGGAUAAGCCUUUACAGGGAAAGUUUUAACGCCAAAAGAUGAGCCCGCACUUGAUUAGCUAGUUGGUGAGGUAAUAGCUCACCAAGGCAACGAUCAAUAGCUGUUCUUAGAGGAAGACCAGCCACAUUGGGACUGAGACACGGCCCAAACUCCUACGGGAGGCAGCAGUGGGGAAUCUUGCACAAUGGGGGAAACCCUGAUGCAGCGAUGCCGCGUGAGUGAAGAAGGCCUUUGGGUUGUAAAGCUCUUUCGUCGGGGAAGAAAAUGACUGUACCCGAAUAAGAAGGUCCGGCUAACUUCGUGCCAGCAGCCGCGGUAAUACGAAGGGACCUAGCGUAGUUCGGAAUUACUGGGCUUAAAGAGCUCGUAGGUGGUUAGAAAAGUUGGUGGUGAAAGCCCAAGGCUUAACCUUGGAACUGCCACCAAAACUUUUUAACUAGAGUAUGAUAGAGGAAAGUGGAAUUUCUAGUGUAGAGGUGAAAUUCGUAGAUAUUAGAAAGAACACCAAUUGCGAAGGCAACUUUCUGGAUCAUUACUGACACUGAGGAGCGAAAGCAUGGGUAGCGAAGAGGAUUAGAUACCCUCGUAGUCCAUGCCGUAAACGAUGUGUGCUAGACGUUGGAAAUUUAUUUUUCAGUGUCGCAGCAAAAGCGUUAAGCACACCGCCUGGGGAGUACG